GGGGCAGGGCAGCGGGGGUGCGCGGGGGCCAAUGAGGGGGGCCGCCUGUGAAAAGCGCCGAGCCGGUGCGCUGAGGGGGAAGAUGAGAGAGGACCUCAGUAUUGUUCAGUACAGUUUGUCAUGUGAGGCUGUAAAUCCCUUCAAGCAAGACGCUGUAAACACUGGCCUUCAGCAAGCCUUUGUGUCACACAUCACUUUAUGGAAGAAGAAAGCAGAAAAUCCCCACUGUUUCAAAAAUGGGUGAUAACUUUUAACUGUUUGUAUUUUUUGCAAGCAUCUGUCGAGGCACUGAGGUUUUAUUUCUACAACCAGCACUGCUCGAUCUGUGCUUUACCCUAUGGUAGAAGUCGGGGCUUUCAGGAAUAGUGAAACAGCAGCAAAGUUCUUUAAAACAGACUGGGAGUGCCUGGAGUUUGGUGUUCAGGCCACUAGAAAAGCUGUUCUUUGGUAGUUGUAAGUGCAAUAGAAUGAAAUUUGGGGCUGAAAGAGCAGGCGCUGUUAUUAUUCUGUACAAGCAGCGAUGCCUGUUUUGUUAGGCAGUUUCCCGUUUCGUAGCUGUAAAAUAAAUACGUAGAACCAUUUGUGCUCUUUAGGUGGAAUUUAGAGGUUGGGUCCAGCUUCUCUCCAAAACUCUCGCAGGACUUCUCCCCCAUUGUGGCGUGUGAAUAACAACCACCGAGCUCAACGCGAGGUUUUUGCAUCGUGGCUGAAAAGAGGCGCCCCUAUUUAUAGCAUUCAAACAUUGGCAGGUGCAAGACUGGUGAGAAACUUUAGUCUCACACAUCCAAAGUGGUUGUUGGGAAGAGUCUUCUGCGUGGUGGAAGCUGCUCCGAGCUGGGCCACGAGAAUCAGCAGCCCUGCUCGGUGGCUGUCUCCUCGUUCAGAUCAAUCAGCUUGUAUUUCCAGGAGGGGGUGUAACCAAGAAGGGCCUGAUGGUGCUGAUUGCAGUAAUAUACUUAGCUAUGGCAGCUUUAGCUAUUAUUUAUAGAAGCGCUAAUUAUAUCAAUAGAAAUAGCAAUAUUAAUACUGUUAAGUGUCAGAAUCCACUCUUGACAGCAUGAACUGAACGCAGCUACUGUGAAACAAGGCAGCCAGCUUGUCUCCCUUGUCAAACCACCAAUAUGCAUUUCAGGAAGAGUACACACCCACCUUAAUUGCUCGGGGUCUCACCGUUUUUGCUCAUCUUGUUUUAUCACUCUCAUUUCAAGAAGAAAACUCCCGAGACUGGCUGUUCCCAUGAAGCGCAGCCUGUAUCCUGAGUCGGUCCAGGACAUGCAAACUGUGACUAAAAUGUCGCAGUGGGUUCCGGUUCAAAGCUGUCAUUCUGCAAUGCUGGCAACCGGAAAGUGUCUCAAAGUUCAGAUUUGGACCCAAACUUUUUUUUUUGAGCCUGUGCUCCACCGCUUCUUGUUUACAAAAUAGUUGGUGAAAACUCACAUAGAUUUCAAUACCCACAGUUACGUGCAGACGACGUUAUAACCAGCCUUAAUUGGCAUCUUUUAAAGGGCAGAAAUCAUAUUACCAAAAAAUAAACAAAACUAAGAGAAAACAAGAGCAUAUUGAGACUCGUUUUCU